ACGGGAGGCAGCAGUGAGGAAUAUUGGUCAAUGGGCGGAAGCCUGAACCAGCCAAGUCGCGUGAGGGAAGAAGGUCCUACGGAUUGUAAACCUCUUUAGCCGGGGAGCAAUAAACCGCUCGUGAGCGGUGAUGAGAGUACCCGGAGAAUAAGGAUCGGCUAACUCCGUGCCAGCAGCCGCGGUAAUACGGAGGAUCCGAGCGUUAUCCGGAUUUAUUGGGUUUAAAGGGUGCGCAGGCGGCCCGUUAAGUCAGCGGUGAAAUGUCGGGGCUCAACCCGGGCACUGCCGUUGAAACUGGGGGGCUUGAGUACGGAUGAGGUCGGCGGAAUGUGACGUGUAGCGGUGAAAUGCAUAGAUAUGUCACAGAACACCGAUUGCGAAGGCAGCCGGCCAAUCCGCAACUGACGCUCAUGCACGAAAGCGUGGGGAUCGAACAGGAUUAGAUACCCUGGUA
rnacentral:rRNA from 1 species